CCUACGGGAGGCUGCAACCGGGAAUUUUGCGCAAUGGGGGAAACCCUGACGCAGCGACACCGCGUGUGGGAAGACGCUUUUCGGAGUGUAAACCACUGUGGCGAGGGAAAAAGUUCUGAUUGUACCUCGCAAGAAAGCACUAGCUAACUACGUGCCAGAAGCUUCGGUAAUACGUAGAGUGCAAGCGUUAUCCGGAUUUACUGGGCGUAAAGGGUCCGUCGGUGUUUUGGCACGUUUCUUGUUUAAGCCUGGGGCUCAACGCCAGAUCGGCAAGGAAAACGGCCAAAAUAGAGUCUGUUCGAGGAAGCCAGAAUUCUUGGUGGAGGGGUGAAAUCCGUAGAUAUCAAGAGGAAUACCAUGCGCGAAGGCGGGCUUCUAGGACAGUACUGACACUCAGGGACGAAAGCUUGGGGAUCAAAGC
rnacentral:rRNA from 1 species